rnacentral:rRNA from 1 species
AUUGAACGCUGGCGGCAGGCCUAACACAUGCAAGUCGAGCGGAUGGAGGGAGCUUGCUCCUGGUUCCCGCGGCGGACGGGGGUGUAAAGCCUAGGAAUCUGCCUGGCUGUGGGGGGUGAUGUCCGGAAACGGGUGCUAAUACCGCAUAAGUCCUGCGGGUGCUAGAGGGGGAUCUUUGGAAAGUAUGCUCUCAGAGGAGUCUAGGUCGGGUUAGCUAGUUGGUGGGGUAAAGGCCUACCUAGGGGAGGAUUCGUAACUGGCCUGAGAGGAGGAUUAGGCACUCUGGAGCUGACACGCGGUCCAGGGACCGACGGACGGCAGAGGUGGGUAAUAGAGGAAGAAGGGCGAAAGCCUGAACCAGCCAUGCCGCGUGGGUGAAGAAGGGCUGCGGAUUGUAAAGCGCUUUAAGUGGUGUGGAAGGGCAGUAAGUUAAUACCUGGCUGUUUGGACGUUACCAACAGAAUAAGCACCGGCUAACUCCGU